rnacentral:misc_RNA from 1 species
CUGAGUCGUCGACACGAGUUGUUGCUGGUCCUCAAACAGGGGACAUGUGCACGCUCUGUUUACACAUCCACUCACACCUGUGCACGCUCUGUAGUUCUAUGGUCUGGGGGGCCCUGCCUCCCUUCUGUGGUUCUGCAUCUUUACACACACACUGUAAUAAAGUCUUAUGGAAUGUGUGCCGCGUUUAACGCAAUGAAAUA